GACGAACGCUGGCGGCGUGCCUAAUACAUGCAAGUAGGACGCAGUUGCGAACGGGUGAGUAACGCGUAGCCAACUACCUAUUAGAGGGGGAUAACUAUUGGAAACGAUAGCUAAUACCGCAUACUAGUAGAUGGCACUGCGUUGUAUUAGCUAGUAGGUAGGGUAAUGGCCUACCUAGGCAACGAUAGAUAGCCGACCUGAGAGGGAGAUCGGCCACAAGGGGACUGAGACACGGCCCAGACUCCGACGGGAGUCAGCAGUAGGGAAACUUCGGCAAUGGGGGGAACCCUGACCAAGCAACGCCGCGGGAGUGAAGAAGGUUUUCGGAUCGUAAAGCUCUGUUGUUAAGGAAGCGGUACUUAACCAGAAAGGGACGGCUAACUACGUGCCAGCAGCCGCGGUAAUUC
rnacentral:rRNA from 1 species